rnacentral:rRNA from 1 species
AACGAACGCUGGCGGCAGGCCUAACACAUGCAAGUCGAGCGGACCCUUCGGGGUUAGCGGCGGACGGGUGAGUAACGCGUGGGAACGUGCCCUUUGCUUCGGAAUAGCCCUGGGAAACUGGGAGUAAUACCGGAUACGCCCUUUUGGGGGAAGAUUUAUCGGCGAAGGAUCGGCCCGCGUUGGAUUAGGUAGUUGGUGGGGUAAUGGCCUACCAAGCCGACGAUCCAUAGCUGGUUUGAGAGGAUGAUCAGCCACACUGGGACUGAGACACGGCCCAGACUCCUACGGGAGGCAGCAGUGGGGAAUCUUAGACAAUGGGGGAAACCCUGAUCGAGCCAUGCCGCGUGAGCGAUGAAGGCCUUAGGGUUGUAAAGCACUUUCACCGGGGAAGAUAAUGACGGUACCCGGAGAAGAAGCCCCGGCUAACUCCGUG